rnacentral:lncRNA from 1 species
UUCUUUCUAAAAUUAGGGAUUCCAUUGGUUGGUAUGCAACAACAAUAAUAAUAACAAAAAAGCUCAAUAAACUUGGCUUCCCCAGUGCUCUGAUAGCUGCAUAUCCAUUUGUUGGAAUCUUAGACAUCUAGACGCACACCAUGUGAACUAAAAGCAGUUUGCAAUCUUCCUAAAGAAUUCUGACACUGACUCCUGCCUUCAGCUGAAAGGCUGCCACGUCCUGGG